UUAAAGGAAUGUAUCACCAGGCCUGGCUGUAAAAAGAAGUAUCUUUAUGUGUAUGGGUGUUUCACCUACAUAAAUCUCUGUGUACUAGUGCAUGCCUUGUGCCUGUUGAGACCAGAAAAGGGUGUUAGAUCCCCCGGGACUGGAGUUACAGACAAAUGAGAACUGCCCUGUGGUUUUGGGAAAUUGAACCUGGAUUGCCUGGAAGAUACACCAGCACUCUUAACUACCGAACCAUCCUUUCCUGUCUCAGGAAAGCAUUCAAGCUGCUGGUGGAAAUAAGACGAACUGACUGUUGGGAAAAAUAACCCAUAUCUUUCUGAGAUGGAAGGCUUUGGAUGUAGAGUCCUCUGUGAAUUGAAUGAAGAGGCAUCCUGGAGUGAGAAUCUGCAAUGGACUGAUAACUGGCUACAGCUCGGCUACACCAGAUGCAAAACAGGAUUUGUUUUUGAGUGCGAUGGGUGUGGCUUGUCUUUUCCAUGUGAUUAGAUUAGGGGAUUUGCAGGUGGGUCCGACUACUGGGUUCUUCUGUUUUUGAGCCAGAUGUGCUCACAAACACAAGUGGUGCACAUUAACUGUGUGCGUAUUUGCAUGAAUAAGUUUCUCCAUCAUUAAAAGCCAAGGACGGGAAUACUGAAAACACCGUUCUUUCUUCAUUUCAGAAAUAUGAUGAGGUGACAUGGGUACUUAUCUCUCACAGUGUAACUUUUAGAAGAACUGGAUAUUUUCACAGCCACUCUGACUCUGUGGCUUGUCACCAGCCCCUGUUGUUUACAGUCUUAUCUGUGCAUGAAGUUUGAUCCCUUUGAAAAUGAUUGAAAAACAAAAGCGCAUUCAAAAUCUCUGUGUCCGAUGAGAAAAUAUGUUCAGUUUAAGUAAAAUUGAAGCACGUGUCUGCACAUCGUCUUUCACUAAAGGAAACAAUCCUGAAAUGCAGUGGAAACUUUGUUAACUUUCCAUCACUGGGGCAAAAUCCCUUUCGGGAAAGAAUUUGUGAUGGUUUGGAUGUGCUUGGCCCAGAGAGUAGC
rnacentral:sRNA from 1 species